UUGCUCAGGUCUCUCCUCAAAUCCACGCAUUAAUCUUUCGCCUUUUACUAAAGAUUACCGUGGGGAGGGACACUCCAAUGAGCCUAUAGGCCAAUUUUGGAAGGCCUUGCCCGUUUGGGCG
rnacentral:snRNA from 1 species